rnacentral:rRNA from 1 species
GACGAACGCUGGCGGCGUGCUUAACACAUGCAAGUCGAACGGAAAGGCCCUGCUUGCAGGGUACUCGAGUGGCGAACGGGUGAGUAACACGUGGGUGAUCUGCCCUGCACUUCGGGAUAAGCCUGGGAAACUGGGUCUAAUACCGGAUAGGAGCCAUUUUUAGUGUGAUGGUUGGAAAGUUUUUUCGGUGUAGGAUGAGCUCGCGGCCUAUCAGCUUGUUGGUGGGGUAAUGGUCUACCAAGGAGGCGACGGGUAGCCGGCCUGAGAGGGUGGACGGCCACAUUGGGACUGGGAUACGGCCCAGACUCCGACGGGAGGCAGCAGGGGGGAAUAUUGCACAAUGGGCGCAAGCCUGAUGCAGCGACGCCGCGUGGGGGAUGACGGCCUUCGGGUUGUAAACUCCUUUCGCUAGGGACGAAGCUUUUUGUGACGGUACCUAGAGAAGAAGCACCGGCUAACUACGUG